CAAGUCCAACAGACCCUGAGAUCAUAGAUUGGCUGGCCAAGCUUAAAAAACAAUUGAAGCGUCAAGUUAGCAUCACAACAAAGGAGAAAAAGAGAAAAAGAGAGGACACUCACUCAUACGUACCUGCACCCGAUGUUACCGGAAGGAGUGAAGAGAAAGAGUAUAUAAUAAAAUUGUUGAAGAUGCCACGACCAAGAGGUCACCCAGGAUCACGGAGAAAGGCUUCCCUUUUGGGUAAUUUUCAAACCUCAUGAAUAUGGAUGGUCUUGCUGGAAGACUUCUUGAGGAGAUGGGUAUACCAGUCGCAGAGAUUGUCGAAUUCAA